UACGUAGGGACCAAGCGUUGUCCGGAAUCAUUGGGCGUAAAGCGCGCGUAGGCGGCCCGGUAAGUCCGUUGUAAAAGUCGAAGGCUCAACCUUCGAAAGCCGAUGGAUACUGCCGGGCUAGAGUACGGAAGAGGCGAGUAGAAUUCCUGGUGUAGCGGUGGAAUGCGCAGAUAUCAGGAGGAAUACCCAUAGCGAAGGCAGCUCGCUGGGCCGCACCUGACGCUGAGGUACGAAAGCGUGGGGAGCGAACAGG
rnacentral:rRNA from 1 species